CUCCCUAGCGUCAAUGGCGAUUGCUGUCUCUCUCUCGUCUCUCCGUGUAUGCAUCGGUCAAUUCGUGACCGACCAAUCUCCGGCAAAGCGGCCGCCGUCGGAUCGGUAACUAACGGCCCAUAGGAUCGCGAGUUCCCGGCGAUGAUGCUGAGCAACGAUGAAGAGAGCUUGGCUCAGUUCCUCGAAUCCGAGAUCCUCUCGGAGGAUGCUGGAGAAGCAGAUGAGCCGGAAGCGAAACGGCCUCGCUUAGGAUUAGGAGGAGGAGGAGGAAAUGGUGCCGGCAGCAGUGCAGACAACGACGAGAGCAACAGCAGCAGGAACCGGACGGUGGUGCCGAAGAGGAUAGAUUCUGGGGUCUUUAGCAAAUUGCCUCCUGAACUCUUCCCUCACAUCCUCAAAUUCCUUCCUUCUGAGGAUCUUAUGUCGUGCUCGAUGGUCUGCAAAUUCCUGAAUUCUGCAGCAUCUGAUGAAUCCCUAUGGCGUCGCCUCUAUUGUAUUCGGUGGGGUCUAUUAUCCUCGGAAAAUAAGAUGCGACAAUGUGCAUGGAAGAAGCUAUACAUUCAGCGCGAUGAAGAAGACAUGAUAGAACUUGUGAGGAACUGCCAGUCCGAGUUUAAGGAGUACUACAUUCAAAUGCAGGCGGCAAAGAGGAGCCAAGCGCCCCUUCCUUCGCAGGUAAAUGAUGACAGGAUAAUCCUAGACAAGACCGUGGCAGAUCAGGUCUCUAUGUGGAAAACCAGCAAAGGUUUCACUGAUAAAGUGGUCUUAAAUCAUGCUUGUUCUGGUGAAACAUGCUCUUACAACCGAAUUGGAGACGUGUAUGUAUGUGAGAAGACUGGACAUGUUCAUGUAUGUGAUGAAACAUGCAGAGAACUUGUUAUGGAUCCUGCCAAUGAGCUGUUGGUCUGUACUAUAUCGGGUCACUGUUUUGACCGAUUACUAUCACCUGCUGAAAUGGAACCAGAUAACUUUCAGGAUCAGCAAACAGGUGGUGUGACAGACGAAGCUGAGCCCUUCAUGGGAUCUGGUCGUUUCGCACGAGCAUAUCUCUUGGGAUACAACUGCACUGAUGAAAAGGAGUUGGAUGCCGUCCUGAGGUUUUGCUGAUUCUUCCAAGUGGAUGAAGCAUGUUGGAAAUGGGAGAUUGGAAGCAACGAGAAAUGUUUGGAAUGUGACAUCUGAACUCUCAAGCAAGCGAAGUUCAUGUUCCGUUUAACCGUUGAUGCUUGAUGUUGGAUGACCUAAUGAUGCGCUCGGCACUCUCAUGCCUAGAAGGUUGAUAGGAUGUUUCUCAUUGCCUGGGGGGAUUUAGAACCGAUGGUUGACUCGAAACAUCAGUCAUGAAAUAUAUUGACUACAAUAUCUGUUCCCUUAAGUGGAGAGCAAGGUAUAUAUUGUCGACCACAGUGUUUAAAGCGAAGGGCCGUGGGGAUCAGUUGGAGAAGCCUGGACAUCGCUCAUUAUCGAAAAAAAGCUAAUGGCAAGCAUCUGAAGUGAAGAGUUGGGGCAGCCUCUUAAAUAAAGCGAUAGGGCAGCUGUCAUGUAAUUGUCACAAUUGUCGUUGGAAACGUUCCUUGACUACAUUUUUAAUGGGUAGGAUCGGAAUUGAAGAACUCACUGCAAACCAGAGAUCCUCAUCACUCAGAAUUUAACAAACUCACUGAAAAAUUAGAGGAAUCGGUGCUUCAAUUACAGAUAUUUAAGAAUGGAAUUUGAAUAGAUCAGCAAGUUUAUUA